UUUGCAAUUUGUAUCUAUCCGCCCGCGGAAGAAUCCGCGAAAGAAAGCGCGAGCAGUGGGGGGGAGGGUGGGGGAAACGAAAGCAAAAUGCUCGGAGGCGAAGAAGAGAUAUAUAUAUACAUGGGUCUUUGUCGUGCUCGACGUUCGAUCGACGAAAGAGGAAGGAAGAGAGACGCGCGAAACAUGAAUUAUUCCCAGCGUCGGUUGUCCAGAAACCGCGGGGAAUCCUCGUGUUUCCCACGAUUCAUAACGCGUUAUCAAUAAUUAAUCGCGUUAGAAAUCGCAAAGAGGAAAGAGAGAGGAAGGGGGACGGGGAGUCGAUCUUAUUCUUGGAAAAGAAUACGCCUCCCCGGAGGCCGUUCCUAUAAAUCUACGCCGAUGACAGUAUGGAUCAGUAUGCGAUCCUCGUUACAGAUGCGCGGGCCGAUUUUGCCGGUGCCGCUUGAUCCUUUCGAUCGUUUCGAGAGAUUCUGUCUGUUCCGGUGACGGGACGUGGAAUAAUGCGAAUGGAUGCUUCGAUAAUUCGCCUCGAAUUCGUCUCCAAUGGAUUCGUGUACGAAUGAAGGUGUCGUGGAUCGAACGUGUUUAUGGGGGACGUUUGAUUGGCAAAAAGGAUGGAAUGGAAUUUUGACGAAUAACUGUAUUUAUGCGAUAUUGGAGAUAGAUUUGUUAUGGAAUACAUAUAGAGAGGAUAGAAAAAUAAAAUUGGGACACGGAUUUAUCUAUAUUUUUCGAUUAUUUGUAAAAGGUUUUAUCGCGAAUUGUAUCGCGAGUUUCGGGUUGAAAAAUAUUCGGCGUUAGUAACGGGAGAGGUAUCAUAAGCGUUUCCACCGCGGUUAUCGCGUAGCGGAAUUGUUAACACCGAUGCUGACUCGGCGGGAGAAUCGGGCGUCGAUUGGCCGACGCGUUUUUCACGCAUAAAUUACCGGUUGCCGUACGCCUCGGAUAACAAAUUUUCAGCGCGAUGCACGCGCGCUCGAAAUUUUUCCAACCGCGUUUAUCUCGCCGCGAACGAUCUCGUGAUAUAUUUAUGUACCCUGGCCGAUGUGUAUUUAUACGCGGUUCCAGGGGAGCCGCGUGGAGGUUCCCAGGAAAGCAGCUUCACAGAAGCCCGAGCUGUUGAACGAAAGGUUAUAACUAGACUGUGGAUUUCCAUGCGAAUAUAUAUUUUUCGCGUUACAUGUGUUUUGGAUAUUUUAAUGCGCGUGAAACAAAAGUCCGGAUGAUUAGAAAAAUUAUGGGAUAAUUAAAAAACGAACCAGUCAAUCGGAUAAAAACCUAAUUUCAAUUUAACAGGUGACUUUUUAAAUUAAUUUAGAAUUUAUAUCGAAUCGUUGAUUAAAUAUAUUUUGUCGCGUUAAAUCGUUUCCUCUAUUGAAAUUAGAAAAAUUUUAAACUGCUAUAAUUCCGAAGAUAACGAUUCCUGAUUAAUGAGUAAGAGGCGGAAAACAUUACCCUUACGAUACGACUUCCGGUUCAUAAGAUAUCGUCUUAGAAUAAAGAAGAGGAUAUUUUUAAUCCCAUAUAUUUUAAAUAUGAUUAAAACGUAUUAAAAUUAGAAAAACUUUGAACCGUUACAACUUCGAAGAUAAUAACUUCCGGUCAGCGAAUGAGAAACUAUUAAAAUCGCGGAAUCUUACCCUUUAAAACGCUCUUUCGUUUUUCCCGAUACGACUUCCGGUUCCCGAGAUAUCCUCGUGUAAAGAACAGUUAAUUUUUUAAUCGUUCAUUAUUUCCAUCUCUACCGCUUACUCGGACCUCUCGCUCGCACCUGUCUCACUGACCUAUCCCAAAUUACAGACAAGCGGCAGACCGCGAUUCCUGGAAAAACGUGGUAGCCAAAUUCUUAGAAGGACGUAGCCAGCACAAUUCCAGGAAAAAAUGUAGGUCGCGGUCCCAUUCGUAAUCCCUUGAACGCUGCGCACACUUUGAGCCCCCGUAUCUCGGCAACCGAUUGAGAUAUCCAGAUAAAACAAAAAGGAUUUCCAAUGUCACAGUUUCCCCUACUCCUCCAAAAAUUUUCCAUUCCUUCGUACGGAAAUUCCACGUGAUUCGCCAUUUACUGCUGUUAUCGCAUAAAGCACACCACCAAGGAUAUAAUUCAAUCUCGGCGGACCAAAAUUACAAUUACGACGAUCCUCCCUCCUCCGUCCCCCGUCCUUCGAUAAAUAACUCCGUCGUGGCCGGAUCCCGGCGUAAAUCUCGCCGAUCGUUAAAUCACGCGCACCGAGAUUACGAUUUUCGCGAGUAUCCUCCCGCGUAAUGAUCUCUCAUUGCUGAUAUUUCAUCCGGCUAAGUACGGGCGGACGUUUAUCGGCACGGUGGGGCCGGGCCGUUCGCGCGAUGGCCCGGCCGUUAAUUUCGUUACGAAAAUAUCCCCCAGGCCGUAAGAUCGCCCCGUCCCGUGAAUAGAAACGGCCAACGGAGGACGGCCGUUCCCAACGCCUGCCCGAGCCGCGAUUAUUGCCGGCGAGUAUUGCAAAGACGAGGCCCGUUCUGUUUACGAAAAUGUCCCUUCUCGCGGUUGUUUGACUUCCGGCUGAUCGAUGGCCGCGCGUGCUCCCCCCUCUGGCCCCCGAGUCAUGCCGGCCAUCGUGCACUUAGAGAUGCGUGUAUUUAUGGCGAAACCACGGAUCCCGGGGAAAAUAUGACUCGGCCUGGCUGGCCGAGUGUUGUUGUUGAAUCGUGUACCCCGGCCACCGUUCGUUUAUUGACGUACGGGCGUACAUCCCGUAUAUACCCGAGCGUAAAAUUCGCGCGUAACCACCCGAUGCUUACAAGAUGUCGCGCGUCUGUUACGCGUCAGCGUAAUUCCUUCGUAACUUCUCGCUCGUCGAGCUUUCGUUGAUGGAGGACGGGACGAUUUUUUUAUCUCGUCCUUUUCAUUCGACUAUCCCUCGAGGGAGGAUUAUAGGGGAAUGUGGAAGGACGAUGAUUGUCACGAUUAUGUUAUAUUUCGAUCGGUUUCUUUAUGUCUCUUCCCGUUGGUUUAGAUUGAUGGGAAUACUUUCAAGAGCCAAAUUUACCGUUCCUUUUUAAGUAUCCUUUCUAAGUAUUCUUUUUUUUAAAUUCUCACGAAUCGAAAGAUCCAAGAUUUCAGUAUUUUAAUACGAUCAAUGACGAUUGAAUUUCUCCUAUUAAAUAGAAAAAAGAGAAAUCCAUUCGUUUUUGGUGAAAAUCAACAAUUUAAAUAGACAAUUUCGCCUGAUCGUCAGGAAUUGCCUCGGAGCCCGGAUCGCGUCUGACGGAAGCGACCGGUUGAACGACGAGGCGGUUUAAUAACGCUCGAUAUCCUAGCUAGGAAUACGAGACGCGUCAGCACCUGAGCGGAUCGUAAUAACUGGAAAACGGUAUCGCGGGGCACCGAUUACGCUGAAAUUGCCUGCAAACAUUUAAUAUCGGCGCGCACACCGUUGCAAAAGAUCUCCCUGGCUGAGAGACCGCGACAGGAUCGACAGGAUCUGAUGCAUACGCGUCGCUCAUAUUCGUCUCUCUCUCUCUCCCUCUCUCUCUUUUUGUAUUUCUGUCUCGUCGUACCCGAAAAUCGUGCGUGUGUACGUACGUGCGUGUGUGUACACGACGGUAUAAUUAACGAUUCGUGCAUUUUAUUCCCCUAAUUACGAGUACAUAGAACGCACGCGAAAUGUUUACAUUCGUCUGGUAUUACGUUAUUCGGGGUAAUUACAGGGCGCACGCGAUUCCCGGUGCAUAAAUGAUGCGGCAAACGCGGGGAUAGAUGAAAGCGACUGCUUGCUCCGGGGAUGAAUUGGAAGGAUACGUUGUUUAGGUUUGAAUAGAAUUAAUUUGGGACAUUGAUUUCGGGUCGAAUAUUUUGGCGGGGUUCAUGGCAUUUUGGAUACCGGUUUAAUUUUCGUGUGAUUUUUUGCAACAGGGGUCGUACGAUUUGGAUUGCUUCGAAUUGAACAAAGAUUGAUUUUGCAAGAUUGAAAAAUAUCUGGAAAAUUCCAACAAAUUCCAUUUCUCUCGUUCAUCGACGCGUUCAAAAAUCUUCCUCUUUCUUACGAAUAUCGAGGACACUUUCUCUGCCCGAUAAACAAAAUCCCCGAUUCUCAAAUAUCGUAGAUUCAUCGGCUGCCUGGAGAAGGUUGGCAUCCUAUCACGAAUAGCCGCUCGAUGCUAAAUCCAUCAAGAAAUGGUAAAAGAAAUACACGCUCUGUCAAAUCUAUCCAAACCCGGCUGACAAAACGCACAUUGCAAAAAUCAUCGCGGAGUACACGGAAUACAAUUACAGGCGUUCCAUGGGAUGGACACGCGCGCGAGCGUGUCCAGCCAGCGAGCGGUCCAGUAAUGGCCGAUGAUUGCCCUUUAUUACAGCAACGGUCAAAGCACGGGCCGGAAUCCGGUCCACACGGAUUCCGCUGCGCGGAUUCGCCGAGGUCCACGAGGAUGCGCCUGUUGGUUCUCUCCUCUCUUGGUUGCGAAAGGAGCCGUGUGCGUGCGGCCGUUUGGACCGCGUGGAUUUCGACGAAAUCGGUCGAAACGACACGCGAACCACUCGUUCCAGAAUCGUUGGCCGAACGAUCGUUUCGGGGAAAAGAAGGCGUUGGUCGAACGAGGUAGACUCACUGAGGUAGAUGGACGCUUUUUGAUUAAGUGGUUUUCGAUGCGAUCGAUGCUUCGUGAAAAUUGAUUGGUCUUGGCAAGUUUGAGUGCGUUUGGAGGUGAUUGUAGGGAUUUUUUUAGAAUUAGUUAUUCAACAAUGAGUUUGGUCGUGAUUAAUGUGUGUUAUGGAGGAGAAAGUUUUGAUCGAGGUUGGUCGGUAUGUUAAGUUUGAUCGUGUUUGCGAAGGGAUUUUCAAGGAUACGGGAUGCGAUUCUUUUUGAAGAUUAUGUAUUAUUAUUGAAAGCCAGAAGUUUGGUUAUGAUCGAUGGAGAUUAAUAUUGAUGGAGUUUGAUUGUGUUUGAAGCUGAAUAGAAUUUUGUACUAUAAGGAAUGUGGUUCUGUUUUUUGAAUUGUUUAUUUUCAAACAUUUUAAAUUUGGUCGUGAUUGACGUGAAUGAAAGUAAAUUUGAUCUAAAUUAAGUAUAUUUGAUUAUGUUUGGGGAUAAAAGAAAUUUAUUUUUUAAAAUUUAAAACACUAAAACUACAUACUACUAAAAAAAGAUAUUACGUAAAUUUUAAUUUUAAUUUCUUAUUUUUCUAAAUUACGAUCUCAAAUUUAAAUUAAACACACACGAGAAUUCUCUACGAUCUACGAGUUCAAGUUUAAUGAUUCUUUUAUACACGUUUUAAUACUUGUUUUAUUAAAAAAAAUAUCUUGUAUAUUGCCCAAAAAAAAGUGAAAUGAAGCCACGACUCGGCGCAUUUUUCUUCGAAGAAUGAUCGCGUGGAAUCGUCAGUUGCCGAAGGAUUGAUCAUCUUCAAUCCUCUCCACUAUAAUUUCGCGGGGCAUCGAUUGAUUCGUGUCAAUACCGAUUUCAAUCAUCCUCAAAUUUGUAACAAGAAUUUUUUAAUCAACUGAGAACACGCGACGAACCGGAUUCUGCGGAUCGGUUAUUCCGUGUUACAAGAUUCGAAAGAGUGGUAGUUUUAAAAAAAGAAAAGAAAUUUCAAUAUAUAUACAGAAUAUGACAAAAGAAGGUGAAUUAAAUAGAAAAUAUUUUUAACUGUUUAUAAUUAAUUUAAUUUCGAAAAAGAAAUAAUAAAUCAGGAAAAUUUAAUUCAGAUUUGCAAAAAUAAAGAUUUUGAAAUAAAAGAUGAACGAAUUGCGUAAUAUUUCUUUUCGAAGUUACAGCGGUUAAAGACCAACAAUUUUUAAUUUAUCAUGUUAUUAGAAUUUCAAUUUAAUCCAAGUCAUUAUACUGAGUAUAAAUUUCCAAUGAUUUUCAAUCUGAUUUCGCGAAGAAAUCAAUCUAUUUUAUCUUUUAUCAUAAAUAUCGAUAAUCUUUCACUUUGAUUACCCAUUUAUUUUUUUUUCUUUUACAAAAGUUGGCCAAUGACGAUAAAUUAAACAGAAUGAAGCUCAUUCGAACGAAUCGUACGGAACUCGGAAAGAACGAGCGGAUAGCCACGGAGGAUGGCCAAAAUUAUGGGAACGAUAUCACGGUCGUUGCACGAAAACGGCCUGGAAACUUGCCAGUCGGUCCAUCUGCGUGUACAUUGCACUUGUUGCGACGGAGACGUGGUACCCUUCCCCCCUUUGAUUCGGGUUCAAUUUUUCACCAAAGAUUAAAAUCCUUUGUCAUCGAACACGUGUCGCGUUUAAUCCCUUCGUAUCGUAUUUAAUUGAAAAAAAAUUUUCCAUCCUACUUUCUUACCUUUCCUUUGAUGAAUUAAAUCUCUUUACCUCGCAAACCAAAAGUCCAAUUUUCAAUUUCUCUAAAUUUUUCGUCUAUCAAUUAAAUACAGAAUUAUAAAUUGAGAAUCAUCUUGUUUGUACUGGUACGUUAAAUUGACACUACAAAUAUUAAUAUUCAAUAAUUUUAAUUGUUUUUCACAUUUUUCGUCGCUUUUAUUACUUUACAUAUAUUAUUAUUAUUAUUAUUAUAAUGAAUAUUAUUAUUUCAUCUUCAUUGUUUGUUGCAACACUUUUGAUAUUGAAUAAAGUAAUAUGACGUAAAAUAAU